UCUGUUUCCACAUUGAGGUAGUUGUGGGACUCAAACUCAGGUCUUCAGGCUUGACAGCAAGCGCCUUUACCAGUUGAGCUAUUUCAGGUCCUGGGUUUUUACUCAUUACCGCCCUAGGAAACCACAUGUACCCAGCCUCUAGUUUCCCAUGUAGCUUUACCAUUCUACCAAGAACCCUCGUGGUAGAGUUUUAGAUCACAUAACAGAGCUGCAUGCUCCAUUACUUCCAUAAUGAUGCCCUCCUCCAAAAUGACUGUAAGAGCCCUUGCCAGAGGUUUCCUGAACGGUCAGCAGGACCUUGACCUUGAAAGCAGAAGUAUGUGUGCUUGCAUGAGCGUGUAUGUUUGCGCGCGCAUGUGUGUGUGGCAGUGAAGACAGGAGAAUCUGUGUGUGGAUUCAUCAUCCCAGUCUCUGCUUGAAGGGAAAUUGCUGGCACUUCAGGAUUGAGAAACACCAUGAAGAAUGUGAGGGCCUUCUCUGUGAUGCUUCUCUACCUCCCUUCACAAGGAAUUAUGGGAAACUCACCAUGACCCUGGACCUGCACGAGGAGGAAAACAGACAGCUGCAUACUUCAUCUUUUGCUCCAAGCCCAAGGUUGAGCAGAACUGUCAAGACCUGUUGAAAAAAAUGUUCCUUACUUUGUGAGGGUUGGGAAACUUCUCACAAAGCUUUUCUAUGAAGAUGACUAUGACAAAUGGAGACAAAAGGCUGGAAAAUGAGGCACCAAGGUGAGGUUUCUGUGAAAGGUUAGGAUUUCUCAGCUGUUACAAGCAUCAGCGGAAAGAGAAGCAGGUGGCCAACCCCUGCUUUCUACUCACAAACAUUUUAAGUGGGUCAUAACUCCCUGUCUGUGAGGAGGUCCUGUAGUGUUUCUAGCGCAUACAGCUUAGUGUGCCAGCACCAACUCUCCUAACCAAAUGGGAACACCACUUUGCUAGCGACUGCCAGUGUAGGCUUUGGAGGCAGGAGACUGGUUGAGUCUUUAACUGAAAUAACUGCUGGAGAGGCUGCCUGGGCUUGAUUGACAUGAGGUUAUCAAUGGAAAGUGUCUCACGUUGUUUCUGAUAACCAAGGCCCAGCAUGAAGGAGUUAUCUUUGCCAGACCUGCAAGGUGGGAAGUCUUGGCAACAGCUCUGGGCGAAACCAAGAACAAGAUGACGCCAAGAUGUUGGUUUCUCUUGAGGGGGUGCAUAUCAGAGAUGCGUGGCCUUUGGGUGGUGUUUGACAUAAAAGGAAAAGAAGAACUGUGUCCUACUCAGAGGACAUGGAAAGGAUGAAGAAGGAGGCGGUCCCAUGUUGAGGCUAGAACCCAGGAUCUCACACAGCUAGAAUAACAAUAGACACAAGAAGGCUGGGCUUGUCGGUUCACACCUGGAACCGCAGAGGAGCAGAUCGAGAAACGGAACAGCAAAGACCGGAGUUUUAGAAAAUGAAAAGACUGCAGCUUGUGUCUAGUUGGCCCUAACAAGACAGCUGUGAUGUCAGGCUGCUAAGAGUGGAAGAGUCCUGGCAAAGACAAAAUGGAAUAGUCCACGAGAAGCAUUCUCUCAGCACAGCGGCAAUCAGGCUUCAUAAGAGAAAAAGCAGCAAGGGUUUCUAGGUACAGGCCAUGAGACGAGGGUGUGAGAUUCCUGGCUUCUGACGUUUCCUGUGCUCCUUCCUUGAUCAUUGCUUCAGGCACGGGUGCUUCAUCAGAGUCCUUCCAUCUCUUUCCAGCUGUGAUGGGCAAGGAGGCCUCGCACAGCUGCUCUUGCUGGGCGAGAGUCCACAAUUAAAGGCAUCACUGCUCCCA
rnacentral:sRNA from 1 species